AUUGAACGCUGGCGGCAGGCCUAACACAUGCAAGUCGAACGGUAACAGGAAGAAGCUUGCUUCUUUGCUGACGAGUGGCGGACGGGUGAGUAAUGUCUGGGAAACUGCCUGAUGGAGGGGGAUAACUACUGGAAACGGUAGCUAAUACCGCAUAACGUCGCAAGACCAAAGAGGGGGACCUUCGGGCCUCUUGCCAUCGGAUGUGCCCAGAUGGGAUUAGCUAGUAGGUGGGGUAACGGCGCACCUAGGCCACGAUCCCUAGCUGGUCUGAGAGGAUGACCAGCCACACUGGAACUGAGACACGGUCCAGACUCCUACGGGAGGCAGCAGUGGGGAAUAUUGCACAAUGGGCGCAAGCCUGAUGCAGCCAUGCCGCGUGUAUGAAGAAGGCCUUCGGGUUGUAAAGUACUUUCAGCGGGGAGGAAGGGAGUAAAGUUAAUACCUUUGCUCAUUGACGUUACCCGCAGAAGAAGCACCGGCUAACUCCGUG
rnacentral:rRNA from 1 species